rnacentral:rRNA from 1 species
UACGGGGGGGGUAAGCGUUGUUCGGAAUUACUGGGCGUAAAGGGCUCGUAGGCGGCCAACUAAGCCAGACGUGAAAUCCCUCAGCUUAACUGGGGAACUGCGUCUGAUACUGGAUGGCUUGGAUUCGGGAGAGGAAUGCGGAAUUCCAGGUGUAGCGGUGAAAUGCGUAGAUAUCUGGAGGAACACCGGUGGCGAAGGCGGCAUUCUGGACCGACAUUGACGCUGAGGAGCGAAAGCCAGGGGAGCAAACGGG